GGUAAGGUAACGGCUUACCAUGGCGACGAUGUCUAGGGGUUCUAAAAGGAAGGUCCCCCACACUGGUACUGAGACACGGACCAGACUCCUACGGGAGGCAGCAGUGAGGAAUAUUGGGCAAUGGAGGCAACUCUGACCCAGCCAUGCCGCGUGAAGGAAGACGGCCCUACGGGUUGUAAACUUCUUUUCUGAAGGAAUAAUUCUCUCUACGUGUAGAGAGUUGAAUGUACUUCAAGAAUAAGCACCGGCUAACUCCGUGCCAGCAGCCGCGGUAAUACGGAGGGUGCAAGCGUUAUCCGGAUUUAUUAGGUUUAAAGGGUCCGCAGGCGGGCCUAUAAGUCAGUGGUGAAAUCCUGCAGCUUAACUGUAGAACUGCCAUUGAUACUGUAGGCCUUGAGUUUAGACGAGGUAGGCGGAAUAUAUAGUGUAGCGGUGAAAUGCUUAGAUACUAUAUAGAACACCGAUUGCGAAGGCAGCUUA
rnacentral:rRNA from 1 species